rnacentral:rRNA from 1 species
UACGUAGGGUGCAAGCGUUGUCCGGAAUUAUUUGGGCGUAAAAGAGCUCGUAGGCGGUUUUGUCGCGUCUGCUGUGAAAAACCCGGGGGCUCAAACCCCCGGGCCUGCAGUCGAUACGGGCAGACUAGAGUGCGGUAGGGAGACUGGAAUUCCUGGUGUAGCGGUGAAAUGCGCAGAUAUCAGGAGGAACACCGGUGGCGAAGGCGGUCUCUGGCCGUAACUGACGCUGAGGAGCGAAGCGUGGAGCGAACAGGAUAG